AAACGGGGGAAAAAAUCAGCAAUUUGAAAAAAAUCAAAUAUUACAAUUUGGAACAGAAAAUUACAUUUCUAUGUAUGUCUGUAGUACUAGAUUCAUAAACAUAAUUAAAAUCUAAUAAAUAAUCAAAAAUUAUGAUUUUGUAAAAACGGCUCUCCAAUUGGGAAAAAUUCCAAUUGGAGAAUUCCACAGUCAAUUUCUAUAGAUAAAAGCCACCAAUUGGAGUUCACAGAAGUUGGUGAUCACAGAAGUUGGAGGAAUCACCAGUUGGAGACUUUCACCGUAUAACAUCUGCUGGGGAGAAAUAAAGUUGUGAUAUAUACAUGUCAUGAUAUUAUUGCUCAUUAAUUUAAUAUUGUAGAUUAUUCAAGAAAAUAACAUUGCAAGAUGUUACCUGAUUUCGAGUAUUACAUCGGUGUUUUCACUUGUGACGUUGUGUGCAAUCUAAAACAGUGAUCUUAAAUACAACUGCGUUAGAUUUGCGAAUUAUUUAUCCUUUUCUGAAGCCUUCUGGUCCUAGAUGCUCGAAAAUAUUAAAUACUUUUAAAAAGAAUAACUUACUAAUUUUCAUUUCCUGGUGGGCUCAAUUUGUGUCUUUCAGUUAAUCGAAUAGGUUAGAGAACACCAUCUUAUAUUGUCAGUAGGUACAUUAAACUAUGUUGACUUAGUGACAAACUUAAUUUGAUCACUCCAAUUUAAAGAAAAAAACCUUUCGAUGUGUAUCUUUUAUCCUAUGCAAAAGUGGCUUCUUUUUAUUAUUUCGUUUCCAUCACUCACGGUAUGUUAUUUUUCUUGUCAUAUGAAAUGGGUACAUAUAUGUAUGAUAGCACUAUCACGAACCUAUUACCAGUAUAGGUUAAACAAUUAUUUAUAAGUCAGUGAUAUUAUUUAUAAAUGUUCUAUAACAUUGUGUAUUGACUUAAUACUUCGUAAAAAAAUAAGCUCAACAAUCAUUCUUUGUUUCAGAAUUCAUCCAUUUCAAAUGAUUCUUUGAAAAGGAGCCAUUAUCUCGGUUCACUUAUUGUCAGGGUUUAGGAGCUGUAGCUAAAAGCAGUGACGAAAUUCGUUUACACUCUUAAAUUGUGCUCAGUUACAUUGAACACCUGCCAUAACUGAAUGAUAGCUUUACAUUGAUAAAUAAGAAGUAAAUAUAUCCAAAUACUAUUGCAAGUGGUAUUUUUUUGCAAAAGUGUAUAGCCCUUCACGCAAUUCAUGAUAGUUUAAAAACUCAUGUCUUGAAUGACAUUAUCUUUGAUCAAGUAUACGUUCUAAGCAUUAGGAAUGAUAUUGUUCAUAUUGUUUCAUCCUGCUACCUGUUUGCAUGUUUUUGUUCGUUUAUCAAAUAUACGCAUGUACUUUGCUUAUCAAUAUCAUGUCCACGUGUUUGUGAAUGGAGGAUAAAGAUACUGUAAUAAUGUUUCAAAGAUGAAUAUCGUUAAACACGUUGAUUAAAUAUUAACAUAUUUUUAAAUCACAUAAGUCACGGUGACAUUUAUGAGAGUUAGGCGAAGAUUUUGUGAUGGAUUUUAUAUUUGCUACUGUACAGUAGGGGAGGUUACUGCGUAGGAGACGAACAUUUUCUUAAACCGGUUUAGCAUCAAAUCAAGUAGGACCUACUCCGGUGACCUCAGACGAACAUUCGUGUAAAAAUGGAUUGAAAUGGACAAUCAUAAAAUUUUGGGCUAUGGACUUAUUGAAGACAACUGUAUGGAGAUAAACAGAAACACAGAGGUGCUAUACUUUCUGAUGGAAAAGACAACAAAAGCAUCUCCCAUCAUUUUGGCGUGGCUCAGAUCAAGAGGAGAAAUUUAAAAAAGGUGAUGGUUGGGCACAAACAAGAAGACAUAGAUCACAGGCGUAUAGCAUAUGAGUAGACAGGAGUUUCACACUCUGCCAGACUUACUUCCUCAGACGAGCAGAUUUAGGCUUCUCAAGAUCACGCACUGCACACUAAGACAUAGUCUUUGACUACAACAAGGCCUUAGGGGAUGAAAGUACAGAGAGGUCCAAUUGAAAUCAAUUCUGUGCUGCGUCAUUUCUUUAUUCUAGAGGUUGAUGGACAUGAUUUAUGGCAUCAAGUGUGCAGUUUGUCAACUAACUAUCAACACAGCAGUCUUGUUCACCAGCUGCUCAACUUGAGCUUUUAGCUUUAUUGCUUGAAGCCACUGUAUAAGAGGAGGGAAGGUGCAGACUCAUCAAAAAGUCUCAAGGUUGAAACUAGGAAGAGAAGUUUGUCAAGAGUGUGAAUAUUUGCUUUGAAAACAAUUGUUACAAUGAUUUGGUUUCCUUUGAAACUUGAUACAUACUAUGUGUAUGUUGAAUGAAUUGAGAUGCUUAAAUAAAGAACCACUAUUCAAAUAUCAGGAAACUGCAUUUUUCAUACUAAAUUGGUAAAUGAUGUCACCAUUUCCUGUAUGUAUUUAGAUAAGAUAUGUUUCCACAAUUAAUAUUUUUAGGGACUAUUUCUCAACGUAAUGAAAUAGAUUAAAUUUGUACAGCGUGAUAUGAGCUUAAUAUGUGUUUUCUGUUUCCUUAAAAUUGAUGAAAAAUUGUCAGAAGGUAAUGAGACCAGUAUCCAUUACUGCAAUCAUACAAUAAAAAAUACAGGGACAAGCCCACUGCUCAUAUAAUAUGAUUAAACCUUGUUUAGGGGCAUGAGGCAAACAGAGUUACUUUCAAAUGUUAAAGAUGCACUCUCACACUUUGGAUGUUUUGACAACUGUUUUCAUUUUUAGCUCUACUGGCCAAAGGCCAGAAGAGCUUAUGCGAUGGUAAUGUGUACGUAGUAUGUGCAUCUGUAAACAAUCCUCGUUUACAUGAUACAGCCUACAGUUCCUUUCGAAAACCAGCCAGAUCCGCCCAUGUAUGCCUAGUUUAUGGGCCUUGAUAGUAUACAAAAAUCAGUGUGUCAGUAGGCAAUUGCUCGUUAACAUGAUACAGCCUUUUUGAUUGUAUCUCAAUGAAACUUGUACAGUAUCUACAUAUCCAUAUGAGCUCGGUUCCUUUCGAAAACCAGCCAGAUCUGCCCAUGCAUGCCAAGAUUAUGGGCCUUGAUAAUAAAAAAAAAUAGUGUGUCAGUAAACAAUUGCUCGGUAACACGAUACAGUCUUCAGUUUUGAUUGUAUCUUGAUGAAACUUGUCCAGUAUAUCCAUUAGAGCUCAGUUCCUUUCAAAAACCUGAUCUGCCCAUGUUUCCUGGAUUAUUGGCCUUGAAAUUAUUAGAUGAUGGGCCUUGAUAGUAUAAAAAAUGCUAUUUUGUAAUAAAUGCUUGCGAAUAUGAUACAGUCUUCAGUUUUGAGUAUUCAGAUACCCAUAAGGGGUUGGUUCUUUUCGAAAACAGUGAUGUUGACCACACAAACCCAGCCAGUAGAGCAUAGGCCCUUUUGGGCCUCUUGUUUGUUUUGGAUUGGUACCAUCCAGUCUUUGCGAAAAAUGCAUGGAAACCAGUAAUAUAAGACUACUGACAAAAAAUUCAAUUGCAGACUUUUUUAUUUAAGUUAAAACAUUGAUGUUUUAUGCACUUUUCUUAAACCGUUAGUAACAUUAAUCUUCGAAGGAAAUAUGAAAUCUGGGAUUUGAUGUUUUGUCAGCAAUCUUUUACCAUUGGUUUGCUGAUAUUUACGCAAAAAUUUGCUCAUUCCAAGACAAAACAAAAGUUGUUAAAACGGUAUAUCUGUGAGAAUGCAGCUCUAAAUGUUUUGGCAAACAUGUUUUUGAUUUGGCAGCACAAUCAAUCUUGAACAUUGCUUGAUUUUACUGCUGUAUUAGAAAUUACAGGGGGAAUGGGGGAUUUUUUUUAGUGUUUUUAUUGCUUUUUGUGAUUCAUACAGUCAUACUUCAUUCCCCAGGGCACAACUUACAAAUAGACAGAACAGGAAAAUGGUCAUUUUAAAAGGUCAAGGACAAUGCAAGUUGAACAAUCAUAUUGUUCAUGGCUUGUAUUUUUGGUAUAUUUUGUUGCAUAUAUGCUAUAAAAAAAGUUGAAAGUUAAAAAUAACUUCAUAGUUGAAAUGAUGGCUUUGAAUGGUUUUGUCAGUUGAGAAACAGCACUAUUAAGAAAUAUGUUAAUGGUACUUUAUUAUUUUAAUCAAUUUUAGAUAUUUGUAUGAAAAUUAUUAUCUUAUUUUGUACAUGAGACCUUUUAAACAGUUAUUUAUAAUUUAACAAUGUGUAAAUGAUCAAAACUUAAAGCUGCACUUUCACAGAUUGUCAUUUUAGACACUUUAAAAAUUUUGUCUCAAAAGCUGAUUUGGUUAUCAUUCCUUUAAUUCAGUCAUAUUAGAUAAUUCACAAUAGAACCAAUCAAAAAUGUUUGGUAAGACUGCCGAAAAGUUCAUUUACAUUAAAUUGUUCGUAAUGUUACUAUACCCAUAAAACAUCAUUUUAGCCAUAAAUAUGACAAAAUGCAAUCUGAUCUUAUUUCAGAAGUCUUAUAUCACUUAAAAUUGGGUCUAUGCAAAAAAUGGUCUAUUUAUAGACCAACAAUAAAAGAGUGCCGGUAGUCAAAACGAUCAAUUAGUGAGAUUGCAGCUUUAAAUACACCUUUUUAAGUCCGCUGUAAAAUUCCAAUGGUUUGCCUCAAUCUUUAAAGCUAGCAUACUGUUUAAUUGACAGCCAUACUUUUUGUUUAAAAGUGUCAUGAUAUGUUUGUACAAUGUGUUUAUAUAAUUCAUUAAAGAAGUCAA